UGGCCAUUGCACUCAGUGUAACUGCCUG
rnacentral:piRNA from 1 species